UACCUAUUUAUACACCCUUGAUCUAACAUAACUACUUCUAAUCUAUACCAUUGGAGCUCAUUAAAAGCCACAUGACUGGGACAUGAGUGUUUUUUAACCUAAUAACAUAUUUAAAGACUCAAUAAAGAACAAAACACUUAAAAAUACAAAUAAACUUGUCUCUGGAUCGACCUUCUUCAUCUCCUCUGCCAAAAUCCAAGGAAGGUACCAGAUUUACCUAACCAUUUCACUGGGAACUUUCCAUCCAUAUUACCAUUCCUAGUAAGUAUCAUUCUUUGAUUGGAGAAAACUCGGCCUUGAUGUAGCGGAUUCCUUCCGAUCAUCGCUAAUAUUCGAAUCCCAUCAUCAAAGCAAUCGAAGUUUUCUUGCUUCCCGAAAGCUUGCCAAUUGAUACUUUUACUCAAACCCUCAAAUUGAUCAGGAAUGACAAAAUUUAUCAUCAACAUGAACAAUAGUCUCUCUUCAUCUUUAAAUUAGCCAGCAUUUCCUUCACAUGCUUGCUUAUCUUCUUCUUUAAUACCUAUUGCAUAUUGAUAAGUAACUGAAUCAAAACCUUCAGAAAGACUUUUCCCCGUCUCACUUGAACCAUCAGUACUUUUGACAAUUCCAUCUUCUGCCAGUAAAUUUACUGCAAACGCUUUGUCUUGAUCACCAUAGUCAAUCCCAUACAAUUGUUGCAUGAUUUAUGUCAUCCUCUCGUGUAACUGUUGUUGUUUCAUUUUCAAAAUCUUCACGGAAAGGAUAGAUCUCUUCAUCAUGAUCUAAGGCAUGAUGCAGUAGCUCUUCCAAUCCACUUUUCUCUGGUCUGGCAUCAUGAAAGGGAUUUUCAUCAAAUAUUAUUAUUAUCAUCCUUGAAACCACCUUCCGGCAUGUCCAGGAUCGCAGUGACCUUCUGGAUUCUUCAUAUGGGCUUUCACAGUUUCCUGUCACUGCAAAGUUUGAACAGCCUGCAACAAGUCUUCAAUCAUACAUCACAUCUCAGCCAUCUCUAUUUGUUGAGCUUGAUUGCCUCUUCCAUGACCUCUUCCCCGUCCGACCAUCAUGUCGAAACGAAAACCGUAAUUGCAAGUUGGAAUUGUUGUAGCUCUAAUACCAAUUAAUAAAGGAAAACCGUAACAAGGGGAUCUAAUACCAAUUUGAUGAGGUUGGAGAAUUGAAAGAUAGCAAAAAGAAUUAAAACAACUUGAAGAUGGAACAGAGAAUGGUUAUUCUAGGA